GCUCGCUGCCACGAGCAUCAGGCACAUGGACCUGGUUCAGGAACAGACUGGGGGUGGGGGGGCAGCCGGAAGGUCAGUUGCGACGAACUUUCUGCCCAUGGUGCGCUGGUCCCUUGCUGGAGCCUGUGGAUGAGUCCGAGCAGCUGUGGGGACGGCUCGUCCAGCCCUGCCGCGCUUUUCUGGCCACACGCCCCGCAGACCACGGGCCCUGGAGCAGGGUUUUGCUUUAUGGCUGAGAAACAGCUUCUGGGUCUGGAAGGCGUCUUUUGGGUUCUCCCAGGGGGUCUCAAACGACACCGACAGCAGGAUGAGACGAAACCAGCAGUGAAGACGGCUGACCCAAGACUCUGGGCCAGGCCCGUAAGGCCCACGCUACGGAGUCAAACAUACUGUUUCGACCAAGUGCUUGUCUCCCUGUCAACACCAACACUUAUUGCCCCCAGUGUUCUGGAUGGAAAGGAAAUUCUCUAGGAAACGUGUCGCAGCGUUUAAUUACUCAUGAUAUUAUCACUUCUUGCGUUAAGUCCACUGCUAAAAGCACAUGCAAAAAUGUUUGUGUGACUGUCUGGUACAACUGAUAAAAUGCACAGCCUAUAAAAUGUUUCCUUGCUAACAUACUCUGUGCCUGUUCGCUAUGUCUGAUUAGUUUCUCCCUGUGUGGGUAACUGGGCAAAUCUACCUAUCUAUGAAAACAGAAGGCCUAAGGACGUGAUGGACCCAGGGCACACAGUAACCUCUCUGGCAUCGAGGGACACAUAUUUUGAUCAUUAAUGCUUCCUACCAAAAGAUUUGCAAUCAAAAGGGGAAAAUGAUGGGGGAAAUUUUCACAUGUUGAGGUACAGCCGAGUCAUUCUGGUUUAUACAUGAUUUAACCUCAACGUUAUGCUAACCAGAACAACCUGUUUUGUGGCCUAUCCAACAUGUGCUGUACAUCUGCUUUAACCAUUAGGGAAAAUAACACAUUUAAAAAUCAAAAUAGAGGAAGAAAAAAAGAAAAAAAAAUGAAUGAAUAUUAAAAAAAUCAAAAUAGAGUAACUGUGGUUCAGACAACCAAAAACUGAGCUGGGUGGCCACUGUGGAUGUGGCUUCAGACACAUUCCUGUAUUACUGAGAACCUGAAUUUUCUGAACUGUACCAGACUCAAGGACACCAUCAGCUGUUCUCAAAACAGUAUCUUCCAGCAGCUACCAACUGCAACCUUAUGGUGUCAAGGUCUCCUUUUAUAGCUGUGAAUUUUUUUUUUUUUUUUUUACCUUAGGAAUGGCAGGAAAUGAGACAGUUCAAGUCAUAACCUCCCACCAGAGGGCUUUAGAUUCUUUAGCCAGAAUGGUGGCAACAAAACACUUUAGAUCAUAUUUUACCGGGGGGGGAAAAAAAGAGGCCUAUUUGUAGUAGCCAAUUGCUCCUGUUGUAUAUACAGAAGUUAAAAUCUACUAAGAUAAAAUUAUUCAAAAGGUGACUCAGCCUCAACAAGUGUUAUCACAAGAACCUAGAUUUGAUCUUCUGGAAAUACCUUACGGAUCCCAGCAGAAAUAAGGUCUAUGUUUGAAGGAUUGUUAAACUGGGUUUAGCAAUAGAACACAUGUUGUUCUAUGUGUGCUAGGGUUUAUAUCCCUUUUUUGUCAUUAACUCUUUACUUCCUAUUUGUCUCAUAUCCUUAAGCCCAAAGCCUUGUGCUCCUCUCAAGAUUUGUGAGUAUUUGCAGUCAAAUUUAAUUUUAAUUUUUAUUUUUUAUUUUGUCUUUUUGCCAUUUCUUAGACCACUUCUGCAGCAUAUGGAGGUUCCCAGGCUAGGGGUAGAAUCGGAGCUGUAGCUGCCAGCCUACGCCAGAGCCACAGCAACGCGGGAUCCGAGCCGCGUCUGCAACCUACACCACAGCUCACGGCAACGCCGGAUCGUUAACCCACUGAGCAAGGGCAGGGACCGAACCCGCAACCUCAUGGUUCCUAGUCGGAUUCGUUAACCACUGCGCCAUGACGGGAACUCCUGCAGUCAAAUUUAAAAACAAUUUUCUGGGAGUUCCCAAUGUGGCGCAGUGGAAACAAAUCUGACUAGUAUCCAUGAGGAUGCGGCUUUGAGCCCUGGCCUCGCUCAGUGAGUUAAGGAUCUGGCGCUGCCAUGAGCUGUGGUGUAGGUCGCAGAUGCGGCUCGGAUCCGGAGUUGCUGUGGCUGUGGUGUAGGCCAGCAGCUGCAGCUAUAGCUCUGAUUCCACCCCUAGCCUGGGAACCUCCAUAUGCCGUGGGGAGGGCCUAAGGCAAAAAAAAUGGUUUCACUCCUCAAACCCUGGUGAGGCCUACAUUCCUCUUCAGGAGGAAGUAGGCAGAGUGGUCACUGACCCCUUUCCUCAAGACUGAGGAACAAUCCGCAUACGGGAGGGCUGAAAUCGUGCCCUCUCUGGGUAACAGAGGCUGAGGGCUAACAGGAAUUCCUGACUUUGCCUGGCAGAACAGCAGGUCAGGGGACAGCUCAUUAAAACCCCUCUGCUUGUAAACUGCCUUCACUAAUUUAGCGCCCUAGUUAUUUUUUCUUUUUUCAAACCUCUCUUUAAUGGCAUGCAUCCCCACCUUCACACAGCCCAGUUGUCUUGCAAGGACAUGCAGGUUGGCUCACUGGUUACCAGGGAAACCGGCAGAGGGGCAUGCCCCCAGCAUCCCCUUGAGAAACUGUCACGGGGAGAUGCUCAGAUUUAAAGAUGAGAACGGUCACUAACUGGUGGGGCUGGGGCGGGGACGUAGGCAGUGACGGACUAGGCUCUAUGACUGAGAGGGAAGGUUGGCCAGGUAAUUAGGGCAUAGGGGAGGCA
ensembl:lncRNA